rnacentral:rRNA from 1 species
UACAGAGGGUGCAAGCGUUGUUCGGAAUUACUGGGCGUAAAGGGUGCGUAGGCGGUUCGUUAAGUCUGUCGUGAAAUCCCCGGGCUCAACCUGGGAAUGGCGAUGGAUACUGGCGAGCUAGAGUGUGUCAGAGGAUGGUGGAAUUCCCGGUGUAGCGGUGAAAUGCGUAGAGAUCGGGAGGAACAUCAGUGGCGAAGGCGGCCAUCUGGGACAACACUGACGCUGAAGCACGAAAGCGUGGGGAGCAAACAGG